rnacentral:rRNA from 1 species
GUUGGUGCCGGGGAGCCUACACAUGCAAGUCGAACGAAGUAGCAAUACUGAGUGGCAGACGGGUGAGUAACAUGUAGGUAUCUGCCCUUUGGCCUGGAAUAACACGAGGAAACUUGUGCUAAUACCGGAUAAGUCUUUACGGAGAAAGCUUUAUGCACCAUUGGAUGAGCCUGCACUUGAUUAGUUUGUUGGUGGGGUAAUGGCCUACCAAGACUUUGAUCAAUAGCUGAUUUGAGAGGAUGAUCAGCCACAUUGGGACUGAGACACGGCCCAAACUCCUACGGGAGGCAGCAGUGGGGAAUCUUGCACAAUGGAGGAAACUCUGAUGCAGCGAUGCCGCGUGAGUGAAGAAGGCCCUUGGGUUGUAAAGCUCUUUCGUCGGGGAAGAAAAUGACUGUACCCGAAUAAGAAGGUCCGGCUAACUUCGUGCCAGCAGCCGCGGUAAUACGAAGGGACCUAGCGUAGUUCGGAAUUACUGGGCUUAAAGAGUUCGUAGGUGGUUAAAAAAGUUGGUGGUGAAAUCCCAGAGCUUAACUCUGGAACUGCCAUCAAAACUUUUUAGCUAGAGUAUGAUAGAGGAAAGCAGAAUUUCUAGUGUAGAGGUGAAAUUCGUAGAUAUUAGAAAGAAUACCAAUUGCGAAGGCAGCUUUCUGGAUCAUUACUGACACUGAGGAACGAAAGCAUGGGUAGCGAAGAGGAUUAGAUACCCUCGUAGUCCAUGCCGUAAAACGAUGUGUGUUAGACGUUGGAAAUUU